CUGAAAAUUUUGUUUAAUGUACCUUGUUCAACAGAAAUAUUCACUAGUUGCCUGAUGUCAUUAAUUAUUUUGAAGAAAAAUCUGGAUGUUGAUUAAAUCUGAUUUGUCAGAUUUAGCUUAUAUCUUUUCAGCCUCUAGUCUGUUGUAGUUUUUCUUCUGAAUAUUUUAAAAGAACUCUUAAAAUAUAAUAAGCACAACAGCAGAAUCAUUUAGAAUAGUAUUUCAUGCCAGCUGAAAGGAAUUCCAAGGAAAAAGAAUAUGACUGAUGUAAAGCAUGGUUCUUUAGAAGAAGUGACAAAUCUCCAGCCUUUAGGAAAGUUAUGAAAGUCCUAGAAGAAAGUGCUCCAACAUCAGGAGAGGAAUGUUUUUUUAUUCUGGAUUGGAGACCAAUAUGGGGAAGGAUGUGGAGGGAGUGCUUCAAAGACAGCAAUUCUAAGAAGUCUCUUUGAAGCUUAAAAUGAGAAAUAUGCUCCCCUGCUCCUUGUCUGCUGGAAUUCAGUCUUGAGAAAUGGGAUCAGCUGAUGAAAUAAAAUAUGUCUAUGACCACAGCAGAGAUUCCAUGGCAAUCAGCAUAUUAGCUUCCAAACAAUUCCUUUUAAAGUUGUGAGGGGAAUUUCACUCAGCAAUGCACAGAUCUGCAGUUAUAAAUCCAAAUUACCAUGUGAAUAGAGAAUUCAAGAAAUUACCAUGUUCCAUCUGAUCUCUCUCAAAAAGCCUUCUCUGAGCAGUCCCAACACAGUGUUUAUCAGUCUUUAAAAAUUAUAUGAAGAUUUAUUUAUAUGGUUAGUGUGGGAAAACAGGCAUGAUGGAUCACUGACUAAAUUUGAGGAUGCUUUUCAGCUUCUAAAUCCUCUCUCAGCUGCUCUUAAAUGUUCACGGUUGUGAAGUCUCAUAGUUUUACAGUCAUAAGAGAGACUUUCCUGCAGAUGGUCCUGAUCCAAAGAAGACCAUAGCCUGGUGACUCUGAGGUUGGGAUACACAUGGUCUAAUUCCAGAUGCCUGCAAUGAGAUUCAUAUGAGUCAUUGGAAUGAGCUACACAGACAUCUUCCAAGAGAAGAAGACAAUACAGGGUGUGUCAAUGAGGAGUGAUGGACAAGAACAUAAAUCUGCAAACCACAGACGCCACAGUGCAACCCGGCCAUGAAUGAAUUUACCCAGCUGGCAGAAAGCAAAAGUUUAGAUCAAGACCAAAAGUGCCAAGCACAAUUAUUUUGUUUCAAAUACAUAGUUCCAGACCUGAUGCUCUCCCCAAACUCUCCCCAGAUGUUCUAACCUAAGUGAAAUAUUUCAUUGUGGAGUCAUGCUGUGAGUCCUCAGUGGCUUUUUUAUUUGAGGUUCCAGGAGGAAAGAUGAAUUCCAGCAGCCUGGAAGGGUACAACUGGAGAGGCAGAUGAGGCACUGAGCUGCUCCAGGACUUUCCAGUUUAGAUUUCACUGAAACAAAUACAAAUUUUAGGGAAAGCUAAUAACAGUUAAGGAUCCAUUCACACUGAACAUAUUUCCAAAACUACUUAAAAUACGUUACUCCCAUCCAUUUAACUGACAUUUUUCUUGUAAGGAGACAGCUAAUGGGUGAGUUAUUAAAUACUCAUUAUUUAAUACUUCUCUGGUACAUAUAUGGUCCAAAUACCCCACACAAUAACGCAAAAAUGUGUGUUAAAAUACAGUCCACCUGUACCUUUAUCACAUCUGAUCCAAAGAAUGGCAGAUCUUUCCCAGUGACGAAUAAUUAUUAAACCAGUGCGACGUAUCCUUCAAUUAAAUAAGCACACUUAAUUUCAGGUAGUCCUCCUGCAACACCUUUAUGAUGAUCAUAUUUAAAUAAGAUUAAAAUCUUUCCAGCAUAAAUAUAGUCUGUCUAAAAUUCUACAGUUCACAAACUUGUAAUAAAACAAUGCUUUCAAAUGUAUCUAAACUCUUAGUAGGGAGGAGAAAGGAAAGGAUCUC